rnacentral:rRNA from 1 species
GGCCAAGUUUUUAAGGGCGCACGGUGGAUGCCUUGGUACCAGGAACCGAUGAAGGACGUGGGAGGCCGCGAUAGGCCCCGGGGAGCUGUCAACCGAGCUUUGAUCCGGGGGUGUCCGAAUGGGGAAACCCGGCAGUCGUCAUGGGCUGUCACCCGCUGCUGAAUGUAUAGGCAGUGUGGAGGGAACGCGGGGAAGUGAAACAUCUCAGUACCCGCAGGAAGAGAAAACAACCGUGAUUCCGGGAGUAGUGGCGAGCGAAACCGGAUGAGGCCAAACCGUAUGUGUGUGAUACCCGGCAGGGGUUGCAUGUACGGGGUUGUGGGAUUGUUCUUUCAUGGUCUGCCGGCCGUGAGGUGAGUCAGAAACCGUCAUGGUAGGCGAAGGACAUGCGAAAGGUCCGGCGUAGAGGGUAAGACCCCCGUAGCUGAAACAUUGACGGCUCACUUGAAUUAUUCCCAAGUAGCACGGGGCCCGAGAAAUCCUGUGUGAAUCUGGCGGGACCACCCGCUAAGCCUAAAUAUUCCCUGGUGACCGAUAGCGGAUAGUACCGUGAGGGAAUGGUGAAAAGUACCGCGGGAGCGGAGUGAAAUAGUACCUGAAACCGUGUGCCUACAAGCCGUGGGAGCGUCGCGCAAGGACUUGUCCUUGCGUCGUGACUGCGUGCCUUUUGAAGAAUGAGCCUGCGAGUUUGCGGUGUGUUGCGAGGUUAACCCGUGUGGGGAAGCCGUAGCGAAAGCGAGUCCGAACAGGGCGCUGUAGUAGCACGCUCAAGACCCG